AGACCCGAAACCCGGUGAUCUAGCCAUGGGCAGGUUGAAGGUUGGGUAACACUAACUGGAGGACCGAACCGACUAAUGUUGAAAAAUUAGCGGAUGACCUGUGGCUGGGGGUGAAAGGCCAAUCAAACCGGGAGAUAGCUGGUUCUCCCCGAAAGCUAUUUAGGUAGCGCCUCGUGAAUUCAUCUCCGGGGGUAGAGCACUGUUUCGGCUAGGGGGCCAUCCCGGCUUACCAACCCGAUGCAAACUGCGAAUACCGGAGAAUGUUAUCACGGGAGACACACGGCGGGUGCUAACGUCCGUCGUGAAGAGGGAAACAACCCAGACCGCCAGCUAAGGUCCCAAAGUCAUGGUUAAGUGGGAAACGAUGUGGGAAGGCCCAGACAGCCAGGAUGUUGGCUUAGAAGCAGCCAUCAUUUAAAGAAAGCGUAAUAGCUCACUGGUCGAGUCGGCCUGCGCGGAAGAUGUAACGGGGCUAAACCAUGCACCGAAGCUGCGGCAGCGACGCUUAUGCGUUGUUGGGUAGGGGAGCGUUCUGUAAGCCUGUGAAGGUGGCCUGUGAGGGUUGCUGGAGGUAUCAGAAGUGCGAAUGCUGACAUAAGUAACGAUAAAGCGGGUGAAAAGCCCGCUCGCCGGAAGACCAAGGGUUCCUGUCCAACGUUAAUCGGGGCAGGGUGAGUCGACCCCUAAGGCGAGGCCGAAAGGCGUAGUCGAUGGGAAACGGGUUAAUAUUCCCGUACUUGGUGUUACUGCGAAGGGGGGACGGAGAAGGCUAUGUUGGCCGGGCGACGGUUGUCCCGGUUUAAGCGUGUAGGUGUGUGUUCCAGGUAAAUCCGGUUCACUUUAACACUGAGGCGUGAUGACGAGGCACUACGGUGCUGAAGCAACAAAUGCCCUGCUUCCAGGAAAAGCCUCUAAGCAUCAGGUAACAUCAAAUCGUACCCCAAACCGACACAGGUGGUCAGGUAGAGAAUACCAAGGCGCUUGAGAGAACUCGGGUGAAGGAACUAGGCAAAAUGGUGCCGUAACUUCGGGAGAAGGCACGCUGACACGUAGGUGAAGUGAUUUACUCAUGGAGCUGAAGUCAGUCGAAGAUACCAGCUGGCUGCAACUGUUUAUUAAAAACACAGCACUGUGCAAACACGAAAGUGGACGUAUACGGUGUGACGCCUGCCCGGUGCCGGAAGGUUAAUUGAUGGGGUCAGCGCAAGCGAAGCUCCUGAUCGAAGCCCCGGUAAACGGCGGCCGUAACUAUAACGGUCCUAAGGUAGCGAAAUUCCUUGUCGGGUAAGUUCCGACCUGCACGAAUGGCGUAAUGAUGGCCAGGCUGUCUCCACCCGAGACUCAGUGAAAUUGAACUCGCUGUGAAGAUGCAGUGUACCCGCGGCAAGACGGAAAGACCCCGUGAACCUUUACUAUAGCUUGACACUGAACAUUGAGCCUUGAUGUGUAGGAUAGGUGGGAGGCUUUGAAGCGUGGACGCCAGUCUGCGUGGAGCCGACCUUGAAAUACCACCCUUUAAUGUUU
rnacentral:rRNA from 1 species